rnacentral:rRNA from 1 species
GGAUGAACGCUGGCGGCGUGCCUAACACAUGCAAGUCGAGCGUGAACCCUGCGAAUGAAACUUCGGUCGAUUUUGCAGGAGGAAAGCGGCGGACGGGUGAGUAACGCGUAGGUAACCUGCCCCAUACUGAGGGAUAGCCUCGGGAAACCGGGAUUAAUACCUCAUAACACCGUUUGUUCGCAUGGACGAACGGUCAAAGAUUUACCGGUAUGGGAUGGGCCUGCGUCUGAUUAGCUGGUUGGUGGGGUAACGGCCUACCAAGGCGACGAUCAGUAGCCGACCUGAGAGGGUGAUCGGCCACAUUGGAACUGAGACACGGUCCAAACUCCUACGGGAGGCAGCAGUGGGGAAUAUUGCACAAUGGGCGAAAGCCUGAUGCAGCAACGCCGCGUGAGCGAAGAAGGCCUUUGGGUUGUAAAGCUCUGUCGGGUAGGAAGAUAAUGACGGUACUACCCGAGGAAGCCCCGGCUAACUACGUGCCAGCAGCCGCGGUAAUACGUAGGGGGCGAGCGUUAUCCGGAAUUACUGGGUGUAAAGGGUGCGUAGGUGGCUGCUUAAGCGUGAGGUGAAAGGCAAUGGCUUAACCAUUGUGAGCCUCGCGAACUGGGUGGCUUGAGUGCAGGAGAGGAAAGCGGAAUUCCUAGUGUAGCGGUGAAAUGCGUAGAUAUUAGGAGGAACACCAGUGGCGAAGGCGGCUUUCUGGACUGCAACUGACACUGAGGCACGAAAGCGUGGGGAGCAAACAGGAUUAGAUACCCUGGUAGUCCACGCCGUAAACGAUGAGCACUAGGUGUCGGGGUCGCAAGACUUCGGUGCCGCGGUUAACGCAUUAAGUGCUCCGCCUGGGGAGUACGCACGCAAGUGUG